AUCUAAUAUUUCACUUUAUAUUGUCAAGAAGGUAGUGAGGUAUAUUGGUGGCUGAGGUCUCUUGAAAUUGCUAAAGGGAAAUUUUUCUAUGGUCAUGCUUUUAUGGCUAUAAACCUCAGUUAAAUGGAAUAUCUAUGGGAUAUGUGGUUCUGGUUAACUAAAAAUUAACCAGUAAACAUUGUAGUAACAUUACAGAAAAUACUUCUGCCUUAAAAAGUAUGAUAUGCCGGAGAUGAGUUAGUGUUUCUUGAUGUUGGAUGCCUUUCAAAUGCCUCAUCUGUUGUACUGAACAAUUGAAACUGCAUGUAGCCAUAGAAGGGACAAGAAACAGAACUGUUUACUAACUGGGACAUCCCCUGGAAUUUUUAAAAAAUAAAUAUAUAUGUAUUACCCUU